UCUCCGUUGGUGAACCAGCGGAGGGAUCAUUACCGAGUUUACAACUCCCAAACCCCUGUGAACAUACCUAUCGUUGCCUCGGCGGUGCCCGCUCCGGCGGCCCGCCAGAGGACCCCCAGACUCUUGUUUUAUACAGUAUCUUCUGAGUAACACGAUUAAAUAAAUCAAAACUUUCAACAACGGAUCUCUUGGUUCUG
rnacentral:misc_RNA from 1 species